UACGGAGGGUGCGAGCGUUGUCCGGAAUCACUGGGCGUAAAGGGCGCGUAGGCGGGUGCUCAAGUCCGGGGUGAAAUCCUCCAGCUCAACUGGAGAACUGCCUCGGAUACUGGGUGCCUCGAGGGUGGUAGGGGUAUGCGGAACUAUCGGUGGAGCGGUGAAAUGCGUUGAUAUCGAUAGGAACUCCGGUGGCGAAGGCGGCAUACUGGACCACAUCUGACGCUGAGGCGCGAAAGCCAGGGGAGCAAACGGG
rnacentral:rRNA from 1 species